CUUUGCAAUCAGGGCUCCAAAACCCCCAAAUGUUAUCAAGGGGACGAUUUUCCUGUUGGGAUUAUGAGAAAGCGGACGAGUGGGUGCUCUAAGCCACCAUCGGGAUCACAUCAGGCCCCGCUCUCAUUCCAGCAAGUGCCGGGUGUGCGGGAACAGAGGCUGGACCGAUGCUCUGCAUGAACCAGGGGCCCCCAUUGAGACAUGAGGAAAGGUGACCCUGGUCCUUGUCCCCACCUGACGUGGCUCUGGUCACUGAUGGGACAUGGUUUGCAGCACCCUGUGAUGGCAUUGGGGUGAUGGUUUCUGCGUGCGAGAAGGGAUUUCUCCUCUCCCACCCCAUCCCGGGGUGCAAACGCGAUGCUGGGUGCCCACCAAAUGGGCCCGCAUGGUUCUCCUGCGCCUUGCCUGCUGGAAGCGGGUGGCAGUGCCUUGGGGAAGGGGACGGAUAGGAGGAAAACGAUGAGCUCUGUGGUCCUGAGGCUGCUCAGAGGAGACUGAGGUCGCUCAGAUGCAGCUGGGGUGAUUGGAUGUGAAGGCAGAGCCACGGCGCUCGCCGGCAGCUUCGCCUCUCCCAUCACCCGCCGCCACCGCUGCUGCUGCGGGAGGUUUUGCUGGUCCAGGCUUGUGUUGACAGCGCUGCCAACGUGGCCCUAAAAAUAGUCCCUGGGGGCCGCGUUCCGGCUUGUCCUGGGGGAUUCUCAGGGAUGGAGAUGGAAAGGGACGUGUGCGUGUGAGUGCCGACACCUCCCCGCUCGCUGCCUUUCCCCUGGCUGUUGAACACUGGGAGGAAGGAUGACAACCGAUGGCACUGGGAGCAGCAGGGUCUGCCUGUGGUUGGUUUGGCAGCAAAAGGGUUGGGAAGUUGGGGUUCCCAGCUGUGGUGAGGAAUCCACCGAUCCCAGUGCUGGGAUUAGGGUUGAGGGGUGUCUUUAUGGACAGGAGGUCUUGGAUCUGAAUCCGUCUCUGGUUAUCGGUGGAUCACAGGCUCAUACUGAUGGAUAACUCCAGGCUUUAUCCCGCUCCAGCCGAGACCAGCCUUAAACCUGGCAUCUGUAAGUGUAAAGCUAAGCUGUGUAAUCCUCACCCAGCCGUGGCCUGAGCUUCAGCUUUGACAGCUCGGGCUAGGUGUAAAAGCCAUUUUAAUUCCACUUUUAGGGCUUGGAGCAUUGCCGGAGCAGGGACAAAGGGAGCGGUGCCAGGAUGCUGGUGCUGGCAAAGGGAGCAUCCGCUUCAGGUUCAACCCUUUGGUGCACUGGGUUUCUAUGGGUAGGUGGAGCUGGUUCUGGGACAGGCAGAAAAUGCAGCUCUAAGAGGGGAAAAAUGAAGGCAAAGCUGAUUGAUAAGUGCUGGCAAUGGGAAGCAGUGGGUGUUUGGUGGCUGGUUCAGCCCCAAGCCGUGCGUGCAGCUACAGGAGGCUUUUGGUUUCCCCUGUGGCCUUGUAUUGCUGAGAUGGGUGCAGCUAAACCAGGUUUCAUUUGACCUUUAGCAGAUUCCUGCUUGGUAGAAGCUCAAAAGUCACCCCUUUUCGGGGGGAAAAGGGAAGCAGAGCACUGGGAAAGAAGGAAGGGUUAUCCCUGAGCAGCCUGCUUUGUUUUGCCCAUUCCUCCCCUCUGGCUUUGGUAAAUGCCUGCCAGUUUAGCCUGAAGCCCGCGUCCUGCAGCUCCAGGGAUGCCUCUGCCACCAGGGACCAGUGUGGGAUCCCCCUUGGUGAUGCUCUGCUCGUUUUCCGGCUGGUGAAUCCCGUGUCUCUGGCCCCGGUGACAGUUCACAUGGAAUUUCCUGGUGAGCAGGAACCAAGCAGUGGGAAAGAAACCACCUCCAAAAGGCACCAGAGCCCGGCCAGUGGGAGCUGU